AUUGAACGCUGGCGGCAGGCCUAACACAUGCAAGUCGAGCGGAUGAAGGGAGCUUGCUCCUGGAUUCAGCGGCGGACGGGUGAGUAAUGCCUAAGAAUCUGCCUGGUAGUGGGGGAUAACGUCCGGAAACGGGCGCUAAUACCGCAUACGUCCUGAGGGAGAAAGUGGGGGAUCUUCGGACCUCACGCUAUCAGAUGAGCCUAGGUCGGAUUAGCUAGUUGGUGGGGUAAAGGCCUACCAAGGCGACGAUCCGUAACUGGUCUGAGAGGAUGAUCAGUCACACUGGAACUGAGACACGGUCCAGACUCCUACGGGAGGCAGCAGUGGGGAAUAUUGGACAAUGGGCGAAAGCCUGAUCCAGCCAUGCCGCGUGUGUGAAGAAGGUCUUCGGAUUGUAAAGCACUUUAAGUUGGGAGGAAGGGCAGUAAGUUAAUACCUUGCUGUUUUGACGUUACCAACAGAAUAAGCACCGGCUAACCUCGUG
rnacentral:rRNA from 1 species